UUCCUUCUGGCGAUCGGAAUCAAAAGCCCACACACGGUGAGGAUUUUGUGGGGACUGGCCUCUUGACUCCAAUCCUCACAGAAUCGUGACGCCAGUCCUCUGCGUGUGUGGGCAGCAUUACAACCGGUUGGUCUGGCUUCAAUGCGUGAAGGAAACCCCCACAAAAACUUGCUUGAAAAUUGCUGUACGGUCGUUGAGCUUUGGGGAAGUCCGUUGCUAGGCCUUCCAGUCCCGGGCUCGCCUAUAAAAGGUGGAGGAAGCUUGCAAGCACACCAGACGCUGCUCCUCGACUCACGACAUCUGAAGUUUCUCUCACUCAGCACCAUGAGAACACUGAACCUCCUGCUGCUGGUGGCCUUGGCCCUGACUGCGCUGGUGGUGGUGGAGGCCAUGCCCGGCCCCUUCCCCGACGCUGACCCCGAGGCCCUCGCCGACCCUGGCCCUUGGGGUGGAUACAGACGCUUUGGUGGCUUUGGCCAUGGCUUUGGACGAGGCUUUGGACGAGGCUAUGGAUUUGGAGGCUACUGGCGUUGAUUAACGCAGAAUAUACUGGCGAGGGAAGCAUGUGAGCUAAGAAGACCGCGGUGCCACUCACGCCACAACUCGGCUAUUUUCCCCUCGUGCCAGUCAAGUGCAGCGAGAGGCAGACUACGAUCACUGCCCCUGGUACGCUGCUAACAUCCUCGCCACCUCUGACUUCGCCGAUCUUUGACAUCUUCCCAAUAUUAGAAGAAAACUUGUCCUCUUCAAUGACUAAUAUACGUACAGAUACACUAAAUUUCAUUUUAUCUUAACUGGCUCAAAAUAAAAUGCACUCACUAGA